UUAGUAGCGGCGAGUGAAGCGGCAAAAGCUCAAUUUGAAAUCUGGCACCUUCGGUGUCCGAGUUGUAAUUUGAAGAUUGUAACCUUGGGGUUGGCUCUUGUCUAUGUUUCUUGGAACAGGACGUCACAGAGGGUGAGAAUCCCGUGCGAUGAGAUGCCCAAUCCUAUGUAAGGUGCUUUCGAAGAGUCGAGUUGUUUGGGAAUGCAGCUCUAAGUGGGUGGUAAAUUCCAUCUAAAGCUAAAUAUUGGCGAGAGACCGAUAGCGAACAAGUACAGUGAUGGAAAGAUGAAAAGAACUUUGAAAAGAGAGUGAAAAAGUACGUGAAAUUGUUGAAAGGGAAGGGUUUGAGAUCAGACUCGAUAUUUUGUGAGCCUUGCCUUCGUGGCGGGGUGACCCGCAGCUUAUCGGGCCAGCAUCGGUUUGGGCGGUAGGAUAAUGGCGUAGGAAUGUGACUUUGCUUCGGUGAAGUGUUAUAGCCUGCGUUGAUGCUGCCUGCCUAGACCGAGGACUGCGAUUUUAUCAAGGAUGCUGGCAUAAUGAUCCCAAACCGCCCGUCUUGAAACACGGACCAA
rnacentral:rRNA from 1 species